UCAUGACUGGGGUGAAGUCGUAACAAGGUAGCCCUAGGGGAACCUGGGGCUGGAUCACCUCCUUACU
rnacentral:rRNA from 1 species